rnacentral:rRNA from 1 species
AUUGAACGCUGGCGGCAGGCCUAACACAUGCAAGUCGAACGGUAACAGGAAGAAGCUUGCUUCUUUGCUGACGAGUGGCGGACGGGUGAGUAAUGUCUGGGAAACUGCCUGAUGGAGGGGGAUAACUACUGGAAACGGUAGCUAAUACCGCAUAACGUCGCAAGACCAAAGAGGGGGACCUUCGGGCCUCUUGCCAUCGGAUGUGCCCAGAUGGGAUUAGCUAGUAGGUGGGGUAACGGCUCACCUAGGCGACGAUCCCUAGCUGGUCUGAGAGGAUGACCAGGCACACUGGAACUGAGACACGGUCCAGACUCCUACGGGAGGCAGCAGUGGGGAAUAUUGCACAAUGGGCGCAAGCCUGAUGCAGCCAUGCCGCGUGUAUGAAGAAGGCCUUCGGGUUGUAAAGUACUUUCAGCGGGGACGAAGGGAGUAAAGUUAAUACCUUUGCUCAUUGACGUUACCCGCAGAAGAAGCACCGGCUAACUCCGUG